UACGUAGGGGGCUAGCGUUGUCCGGAAUCAUUGGGCGUAAAGAGCGUGUAGGCGGUCCGGUAAGUCUGCUGUGAAAGUCGGGGGCUCAACCCUCGAAUGCCGGUGGAUACUGUCGGGCUAGAGUGCGGAAGAGGCGAGUGGAUUUCCUGGUGUAGCGGUGAAAUGCGCAGAUAUCAGGAGGAACACCUAUUGCGAAGGCAGCUCGCUGGGACGUAACUGACGCUGAGACGCGAAAGCGUGGGGAGCAAACAGG
rnacentral:rRNA from 1 species